rnacentral:rRNA from 1 species
UACGUAGGGUGCGAGCGUUAAUCGGAAUUACUGGGCGUAAAGCGUGCGCAGGCGGUUUUGCAAGCCGGAUGUGAAAUCCCCGGGCUUAACCUGGGAAUGGCAUUUGGGACUGCAAGGCUGGAGUGCGGCAGAGGAGACUGGAAUUCCGCGUGUAGCAGUGAAAUGCGUAGAUAUGCGGAGGAACACCGAUGGCGAAGGCAAUCCCCUGGGCCUGCACUGACGCUCAUGCACGAAAGCGUGGGGAGCAAACAGG